rnacentral:rRNA from 1 species
GAUGAACGCUGGCGGCGUGCCUAAUACAUGCAAGUCGAGCGAACAGAUAAGGAGCUUGCUCCUUUGAAGUUAGCGGCGGACGGGUGAGUAACACGUGGGUAACCUACCUAUAAGACUGGGAUAACUUCGGGAAACCGGAGCUAAUACCGGAUAACAUUUAGAACCGCAUGGUUCUAAAGUGAAAGAUGGUUUUGCUAUCACUUAUAGAUGGACCCGCGCCGUAUUAGCUAGUUGGUAAGGUAACGGCUUACCAAGGCGACGAUACGUAGCCGACCUGAGAGGGUGAUCGGCCACACUGGAACUGAGACACGGUCCAGACUCCUACGGGAGGCAGCAGUAGGGAAUCUUCCGCAAUGGGCGAAAGCCUGACGGAGCAACGCCGCGUGAGUGAUGAAGGGUUUCGGAUCGUAAAACUCUGUUAUUAGGGAAGAACAAAUGUGUAAGUAACUGUGCACAUCUUGACGGUACCUAAUCAGAAAGCCACGGCUAACUACGUG